rfam:Talaromyces stipitatus ATCC 10500 scf_1105507295527 genomic scaffold, whole genome shotgun sequence.
GGCAAGAUGGCCGAGUGGUCUAAGGUAUGCUAGGUUGGGAAUUUGUUAUGUAGUAUUCUGGCUAAUUACUGGGAUACAGGCGCUGUGUUCAGGUCGCAGUCCGAAAGGGCGUGGGUUCGAAUCCCACUCUUGUCA